ensembl:lncRNA
GCAAACUUGUUCAAACUCAUUUUGGCUGUUAUGCUCUGCUUCUCCAAUAUCGGAGAUCUCUCCACGCCAGUCAGGGUACCAUCCAUGUGGAACAUGAGGGCCCUUCUCUUUGCUUGCAGAGGAGGCUUGUUGGGAGCAAGCUCCCUGGGUUCCCAAGAAGGUCGUGUUUCGCUGAGGCUGUGAACUCUCAAACUCUGCAUUCCUGCUGUGCAUCACAGCCUGCUUUACGAGGUUGUUUGCUGAGAACACAAGUGUUGCAGUUUGUCUGAACAAAGAGGAACUAUAACUUCUAGAGGAGCCCUUUCCUCCUUAUAGCUGCUGUAUCUAUAGUCACAUCUACCUGUGCUGUCUUUUGUAGCCUUCUGCUCUUAAAGGGAAAGCAGCAAAAGCAGUUUUCGGUCUUGCUGAAGACUGCUGGGACACUACUUUGAAGAAGAAAGAAAGAAAGAAAAUCCAAUGAACUAUUGUGGUGGUCUGAUGCGCUGUAUUUGGAGUAUGGUGCUCAUCUUUUCACCCAUUUUUCUAAGAAUGUCUGUAGGUCUAACACUGUCUCUGCCCUCCGCCCGUCAACAGAAGAUUCUUUUGCUCAUGCUUCUCUUCCUCAGAAAGACAGGAUGUUGUGACCUGGUAGGAACAAGAGGGGAGCCCAGUCGAGACCUGAAGCUAGCUGGUGGCUGCUCAGCGGUGGGAUGUUGGUGAGAUGUGCUCCACACGCAGGUGAGAUGGAAUGGAGAUGCGAUGGGAGAGAAAGGGCCACUGGCAUAGCGUGGACUGCAGGGAGGAGGCAGCAACAGGUCGUGGCGGUAGGUUCUACUCACUAAGAGCAGUUAUGUUAGCAGGCAGCUGGGCUCAUACAGCGCGUCUCCUUCUAACACUCUUCGGAAUGCUGGAGAACAGCACAAGCCAGCGCGGAACGAUCACGGCUGGUGAUGGGCGCUUGGACACAGUAGGGCAGAGCUGAGGAUGGCCCAGAAACCAUCAGGCAUCUCCUAGGGGUAGCGAAACCUCCAGCCGAGCCGAGUCCAUUGUCACGCGGACGGGUUGCGCGGCGGCACAGAGCAGUCCGGUACCCCGCGAGGGACGCGGAAGGCGGAAG